rnacentral:rRNA from 1 species
UGGGGAAUAUUGCACAAUGGGCGGAAGCCUGAUGCAGCGACGCCGCGUGAGGGAUGACGGCCUUCGGGUUGUAAACCUCUUUCAGCAGGGACGAAGCGCAAGUGACGGUACCUGCAGAAGAAGCGCCGGCCAACUACGUGCCAGCAGCCGCGGUAAGACGUAGGGCGCGAGCGUUGUCCGGAUUUAUUGGGCGUAAAGAGCUCGUAGGCGGCUUGUCGCGUCGACUGUGAAAACCCGCGGCUCAACCGCGGGCUUGCAGCCGAUACGGGCAGGCUAGAGUUCGGUAGGGGAGACUGGAAUUCCUGGUGUAGCGGUGAAAUGCGCAGAUAUCAGGAGGAACACCGAUGGCGAAGGCAGGUCUCUGGGCCGAUACUGACGCUGAGGAGCGAAAGCGUGGGGAGCGAACAGG